CCUCUCUGCGUCCACUUCCUUAAGAAGGCUCUUGCUCCAAUCUUCUCAAGCCAUCUCCACACACAUUCCUCACUCUUGAACACACAGAACCUCAAUUGAUCAGAAUGGCCGCAACGACCAUGUCACUCUCUUCCCCAGCCUUUGCUGGCAAGGCAGUGAAGAACUUGCCAUCAUCGUCUCUUUUUGGCGAGGCACGUGUCACCAUGCGCAAGACGGCGGCAAAGGCCAAGCAGGUUGCCUCCGACAGCCCAUGGUACGGCUCUGACCGUGUGCUCUACCUCGGUCCGCUUUCUGGCGAGCCCCCGAGCUACCUCACCGGGGAGUUCCCUGGUGACUACGGCUGGGACACUGCCGGGUUAUCAGCUGACCCUGAGACCUUCGCCAAGAACCGUGAGCUGGAGGUGAUUCAUUGUCGGUGGGCUAUGCUUGGCGCACUCGGUUGUGUCUUCCCCGAGCUGCUUGCCCGCAACGGUGUUAAGUUUGGUGAGACUGUUUGGUUCAAGGCUGGAUCCCAGAUCUUCAGCGAGGGCGGCCUCGACUACCUUGGCAACCCAAGCCUCGUGCACGCGCAAAGCAUCCUUGCCAUCUGGGCGUGUCAGGUCGUGCUCAUGGGCGCCGUCGAGGGUUACCGCAUUGCCGGAGGACCACUUGGUGAGAUUGUUGACCCGCUCUACCCAGGCGGCAGCUUCGACCCGCUUGGUCUUGCCGACGACCCCGAGGCAUUUGCUGAGCUCAAGGUUAAGGAGAUCAAGAACGGUCGCCUCGCCAUGUUCUCCAUGUUUGGUUUCUUUGUGCAAGCCAUUGUCACUGGCAAGGGUCCACUUGAGAACCUCGCCGACCACCUCUCCGACCCUGUCAACAACAAUGCUUGGGCAUUCGCCACCAACUUUGUUCCUGGGAAAUAAGCUGCUGGAUCCCAGAUCUUCAGCGAGGGCGGCCUCGACUACCUUGGCAACCCAAGCCUCGUGCACGCGCAAAGCAUCCUUGCCAUCUGGGCGUGUCAGGUCGUGCUCAUGGGCGCCGUCGAGGGUUACCGCAUUGCCGGAGGACCACUUGGUGAGAUUGUUGACCCGCUCUACCCAGGCGGCAGCUUCGACCCGCUUGGUCUUGCCGACGACCCCGAGGCAUUUGCUGAGCUCAAGGUUAAGGAGAUCAAGAACGGUCGCCUCGCCAUGUUCUCCAUGUUUGGUUUCUUUGUGCAAGCCAUUGUCACUGGCAAGGGUCCACUUGAGAACCUCGCCGACCACCUCUCCGACCCUGUCAACAACAAUGCUUGGGCAUUCGCCACCAACUUUGUUCCUGGGAAAUAAGCUGUCCUAGAGACUAUGCUCGCGGUGAAGUGUGCCGUCGUGCAGUCUAAUUUGUACUAUCAUAUUGUAAAUUACAAGGAUUUUGUGCAAAAGCAUUACAAGAUUUGCCCGCCUUC